rnacentral:tRNA from 1 species
GCGAAUUAGAGCUUGAGAUAAGUAUUUUAUUUACAUUAAAAUGAUGGUUGUUUAAUUCAAUCUAGUUU